UAGAGACUCUCGAGAGGUAUCCUG
rnacentral:siRNA from 1 species